UAUUCUAUGGUUUUAAAUGCAUGUAUCACUACUUACUUCACUACUGUUUGAUUUUGGGAAUCUAAGAUAUGCUUGCUUUGUUGGAUGCACGUUACUUGUCUAUGUAUUUUGUUUGAGUUGGUAACAGAGACUAAGGACAAAUAGGAAUGGGAUGUGAUUUGAUAAAUGGAUAAGAUGACAGGCUCACUAGAUAUCCUGGGAGAUGGUGGAUGGACCGGGUUCAUAGAGAACCCUACCGUGAACGUUGUCUCAUACCGGACGAGGUAUGGAGACUUGGUCAUUUGGAGCAACCGGACGGGGUAUGGGGACGACCCACUUCACCCUCAUAUCGGACGGGGGUAUUGAGGUUUAUUAUUUUGGUGCUCAUACCGGACGAGGUA
rnacentral:lncRNA from 1 species